rnacentral:rRNA from 1 species
GACUCAUAGUAACUGAUCGGAUCGCAUGGGCUUGUCCCGCGACAAACCAUUCAAGUUUCUGCCCCAUCAGCUUUCGAUGGUAGUGUAUUGGACUACCAUGGCUUUUACGGGUAACGGAGGAUUAGGGUUCGAUUCCGGAGAGGGAGCCUGAGAAACGGCUACCACAUCUAAGGAAGGCAGCAGGCGCGUAAAUUACCCAAUCCUGACUCAGGGAGGUAGUGACAAGAAAUAACGGGCCGGGA